UAGCAACUGGCCUGAAAUGGGCACCCGCGAACCCUCCGUGCGCAGACGUGCUCCGGCGCCCCGCGCCCCUCAACCCUGCUGCUCCUCCUCGCGAUGCUCUGGCUCACUCCUCCCGGUCCCCGCCCCGCUCCCGCUCUCCGAUUGGAGAAACUCAGCCGCUGGUCCGCCCCGGGAUUUAAAGGGCCCGCUCCGCCGCGCCGCCCUGGGAGCCACUGCUGGUCCCGGCCUUGCGGCCUGCGGGGGAGGCUGCCCGGAGGAGGUGGCGACGGUGGCAGCAGUGCACGUCCCCGGCCCCCAGGACCACGGCUUCCUUUCCGUCAGAUCCAUAUUUCCAUCCAUUUGUGUGGAUCCACAAUGGCAACCUUCAGCCGCCAGGAAUUUUUCCAGCAGCUACUGCAGGGCUGUCUCCUGCCUACUGUCCAACAGGGCCUUGACCAGAUCUGGCUUCUCCUUACCAUCUGCUUCGCCUGCCGCCUCCUUUGGAGACUGGGGUUACCGUCUUACCUGAAGCAUGCAAGCACCGUGGCAGGUGGCUUCUUCAGCCUCUACCACUUCUUCCAGCUGCACAUGGUUUGGGUCGUACUGCUGAGCCUCCUGUGCUACCUCGUGCUGUUCCUCUGCCGACACUCCUCUCACCGAGGCGUCUUCCUCUCCAUCACCAUCCUCAUCUACCUACUCAUGGGUGAGAUGCACAUGGUGGACACCGUGACAUGGCACAAGAUGCGAGGGGCCCAGAUGAUCGUGGCCAUGAAGGCGGUGUCUCUGGGCUUCGACCUGGACCGGGGCGAGGUGGGUGCAGUGCCCUCACCUGUGGAGUUCAUGGGCUACCUCUACUUUGUGGGCACCAUCGUCUUUGGGCCCUGGAUAUCCUUCCACAGCUACCUACAGGCUGUCCAAGGCCGCCCACUGAGCCGCCGAUGGCUGAAGAAGGUGGCCCGGAGCCUGGCGCUGGCCCUGCUGUGCCUUGUACUGUCCACUUGUGUGGGCCCUUACCUCUUCCCCUACUUCAUCCCCCUCGACGGUGAUCGACUCCUUCGCAAGUGGCUGCGGGCCUACGAGAGUGCUGUCUCCUUCCACUUCAGCAACUAUUUUGUGGGCUUUCUGUCUGAGGCUACAGCCACAUUGGCCGGGGCUGGCUUCACGGAGGAGAAGGACCACCUGGAAUGGGACCUGACAGUCUCUAGACCAUUGAAUGUGGAGCUGCCCCGGUCCAUGGUGGAAGUUGUCACAAGCUGGAACCUGCCCAUGUCUUAUUGGUUAAAUAACUAUGUUUUCAAGAAUGCUCUCCGCCUGGGGACCUUCUCAGCUGUGCUGGUCACCUACGCAUCCAGUGCCCUUCUGCAUGGCUUCAGUUUCCACCUGGCUGCGGUACUGCUGUCCCUGGCAUUUAUCACCUACGUGGAACAUGUCCUCCGAAAGCGCCUGGCUCAGAUCCUCAGUGCCUGCAUCUUGUCGAAGCGUUGUCUGCCGGACUGUUCACAUCGGCAUCGCUUGGCAUUUAUUGAGCACCUGCUGUAUACACACCUGGCAUUCGUUCCCCCCCACUGAACAUUUAUUGAGCACCUGCUGGUUCUAGGUGCUGGAGACAAAGUGGUGAACAAAGCAGGCCAAAGUCUUGGCCCCGUGGGACAAAGAUUUUAAUUGGGGAGACAGUAAACUCAGUCAAGGCUGAUAGUAGUUUGUCAGGUUGUGAGUAGCGCUAAGCAUAAGGGAAAAGGGAUGGGAAGUGGGGUGGUGGUUUACCUUUUCAUUGGGAAGAUCAGGAAAGCCUCCAUAGGUGAGGCAACUUGUGAGUUCUUUAAGUAAAAGAGGUAAGGGAGGGGAGCAUCUCAGGAAAAGGGGAUACCCAGCAUAAAGUCCCACCCCAACAUGGGAAUCUUGGAGGAACAGUGAGGAGGCCAGUGUGGCCUGAGCAGAGUGAUGGGGAGAGGGGAAAGACGGGCCCUCUAGGUCAGGGCGGGAUUUGUUUUGGUUUUGUUGUUGUUUUCAUUCUGUUUGCCAUAAGAAAUGCAGACAAGCUCACAUUUGUCUCCCACCCGGCAACGAUGCUCAUCACCAUAACCCCUGGCUCAAAGCCCUCACCACCAUUCUUGCUCCUCUGCCUGGACGCCCUCGUGGUUACCAACACCCUCGUCCUUGGAUACCUCUGAGCUCCCAUAAGAGGCUCCUUGAACCAUCUCUUUCCUAUCUUGGGGUACCCUGGGCAUCCUCAUUCCUGGGACCCACAGCACCUUGUGUCCCCCUGGGCUCCCCUGCACAGGUGGUGGUGGGGGACAGUGGGCAGGUUCAGCUGCUAAAUAUAUCCAUCUGUCCCCCACAGGGCCUGAGGGUACGAGCCUUAAACUUGCUCUUUGGGGCCCUGGCUGUCUUCCACUUGGCCUACCUGGGCUCCCUGUUUGAUGUCGAUGUGGACGACACCACAGAGGAGCAGGGCUACGGCAUGGCAUACACUGUCCACAAGUGGUCAG